UGGGGAAUAUUGGACAAUGGGCGAAAGCCUGAUCCAGCCAUGCCGCGUGGAUGAUGAAGGCCUUAGGGUUGUAAAGUCCUUUCGGCGGGGAAGAUAAUGACGGUACCCGCAGAAGAAGCCCCGGCUAACUUCGUGCCAGCAGCCGCGGUAAUACGAAGGGGGCUAGCGUUGCUCGGAAUCACUGGGCGUAAAGCGCACGUAGGCGGCUUCUUAAGUCAGGGGUGAAAUCCUGGAGCUCAACUCCAGAACUGCCUCUGAUACUGAGGAGCUUGAGUCCGGGAGAGGUGAGUGGAACUCCGAGUGUAGAGGUGAAAUUCGUAGAUAUUCGGAGGAACACCGGUGGCGAAAGCGGCUCUCUAGACCGAUAUUGACGCUCAUACGCGAGAGCGUGGGUAGCAAACAGGAUUAGAUACCCAUGUAGUCCCUGAGCGGGCUGGCAAGGCGCAU
rnacentral:rRNA from 1 species